ensembl:lncRNA LINC00313 long intergenic non-protein coding RNA 313
CACUCACAGUGCGCUCACUCUGAACCUCUGUGCACACGAUGGGCCUGCAUCUCUUCCCACUAUCUGCUAGGAAACACGAGGAAUCAUGGGAUUUGCCGCAGUUUGCACCCAGGCCUGUGCGGAUGCCCCCCGACUGCCCGAGAUGCUGCACCUGCCACUGCUGGGGGUGUACCUGCCUAUGCCCACUCACAGGGGCACCUCCAGGGUAGCUGCCUGGUGCAGGCAUUGGCUCUAAGCAGAGCAGCACUAUGGGCCCAUCUGGGGCUGGCUCUUGCCUGGGCCUGUGAGCACCAUCACAGCCAGCCGAUCUGGGAGUAUCCAGGGUGUUCUUGUCAUUGCGGACACUGAAUAGCCAUUGGUGGGUGGCGAUGGGGGCUUGGAAGCCGAGCAUCAGUGGCAAUGAGAAGCAGGCCCUGUGGUUUAAUUCCGAAGCACAUGAACCCACAGAGCCGCCAACAGUCGUUAUUCGGCAGGAGGGGGUACAGAGACAGCAGCCUGCGGAGCGUUCUAGGCAGGACAGGGCAGCAAACCUGACAUGCGGAGCUGGGGGCAGGGGUAAUGGGGCCAGGGGGUAAUGGCAGGUGAGGCCAUGGCCUAGAGGGUUGCCAUGCUUGGUGCAGGGGAGGAGAGGCCCAGGUGUGGCUGCAGUGGCAGCAGGAGUCAGUGUGGCUGUGCCCAGUGGGAUGUUGUCAGAGAAUGGACCUGGCUGCUGGGAAAGGUGAUUGUGUUUGUCUGAGCCACACUGGACUCUUCUCUGACCAGCAAGCACAUUCUGGAGAUGCGGGGCAGAGACGAGGCCUCCGUGAGAACCUUUGAGGUGUGAGGGCCUUGAUCUGGGGUGCAGCCUCCAGCUUUCUGCUUACAGAGCAGGACCUGCAGGAGCUCGCUGACUGCCUGCACAGUGGAAGGAAGACCUGUUUCUUUUACUUUCCUUGAGGAGAAAAAAUUAAAGUUCUGAGCAAACGCA